rnacentral:rRNA from 1 species
UACGUAGGGGGCGAGCGUUGUCCGGAUUUAUUGGGCGUAAAGCGCGCGUAGGCGGCCUGUUAAGUCGGGUGUGAAAACCCGGGGCUCAACCCCGGGCCUGCAUUCGAUACUGGCAGGCUAGAGGCAGGCAGGGGAGAUCGGAAUUCCUGGUGUAGCGGUGAAAUGCGCAGAUAUCAGGAGGAACACCGGUGGCGAAGGCGGAUCUCUGGGCCUGUCCUGACGCUCAGGCGCGAAAGCUAGGGGAGCAAACAGG